rnacentral:lncRNA from 1 species
CUUUACUAUUAUAGGAGACGCGAGGGUCCUGAUAAUGAUCCAUCCAUUAAUCGAAUCAAGGUGAAGUAUUGAGUCGAUGGAAUUUCUGGUUCGUGGAGAACUAUCUUGUGAUCGCUUACAAAGAGUAGGAACAUGAUCGCCGCGCUCGUUUCUCCGGAGCACGCUUGCGGGGGGCGGUCGUGAUGAUCACGGGAAAGGAGCCAGUCGUCGUAUCGUCACGCCCCGGGCACUCAUCUUCCGUGUUCUCAAAAGGAAAGUGUUGAGUCGUGCUAAACGCCAUAUACGAAAAUAUUUACGAAAUUCUUGUAUUUGCCAGUAGUUUUCCAAAGGCGUCUAGAUCUCUCUCUGAAAAAAAAACAACAGAAGAAUUUGUUAUUGCAAUGCUCCAUCAAACCGGCAAGUGAAAGAACGAACGUCAUACACAGA